rnacentral:rRNA from 1 species
AGCGAACGCUGGCGGCAGGCUUAACACAUGCAAGUCGAACGGGCAUCUUCGGAUGUCAGCGGCAGACGGGUGAGUAACACGUGGGAACGUACCCUUCGGUUCGGAACAACUCUGGGAAACUGGAGCUAAUACCGGAUACGCCCUUAUGGGGAAAGGUUUACUGCCGAAGGAUCGGCCCGCGUCUGAUUAGCUAGUUGGUGGGGUAACGGCCUACCAAGGCGACGAUCAGUAGCUGGUCUGAGAGGAUGAUCAGCCACACUGGGACUGAGACACGGCCCAGACUCCUACGGGAGGCAGCAGUGGGGAAUAUUGGAAAAUGGGCGCAAGCCUGAUCCAGCCAUGCAGCGUGAGUGAUGAAGGCCUUAGGGUUGUAAAGCUCUUUUGUCCGGGACGAUAAUGACGGUACCGGAAGAAUAAGCCCCGGCUAACUUCGUG